rnacentral:rRNA from 1 species
AGUGAACGCUGGCGGUAUGCCUAACACAUGCAAGUCGAACGGCAGCACAGUAAGAGCUUGCUCUUACGGGUGGCGAGUGGCGGACGGGUGAGGAAUACAUCGGAAUCUACUUUUUCGUGGGGGAUAACGUAGGGAAACUUACGCUAAUACCGCAUACGACCUACGGGUGAAAGCAGGGGAUCUUCGGACCUUGCGCGAUUGAAUGAGCCGAUGUCGGAUUAGCUAGUUGGCGGGGUAAAGGCCCACCAAGGCGACGAUCCGUAGCUGGUCUGAGAGGAUGAUCAGCCACACUGGAACUGAGACACGGUCCAGACUCCUACGGGAGGCAGCAGUGGGGAAUAUUGGACAAUGGGCGCAAGCCUGAUCCAGCCAUGCCGCGUGGGUGAAGAAGGCCUUCGGGUUGUAAAGCCCUUUUGUUGGGAAAGAAAAGCAGCAGGUUAAUACCCCGCUGUUCUGACGGUACCCAAAGAAUAAGCACCGGCUAACUUCGUG